rnacentral:rRNA from 1 species
GCCCAGCCGUAAACUUUAAUUUACAUUCAAAUCGCCAGGGAACUACGAGCUAAGCUUAAAACCCAAAGGACUUGACGGUACCCCAUAUCCCCCUAGAGGAGCCUGUCCUAUAAUCGAUAAUCCACGUUUAACCUCACCAUUUCUAGUUAAUCAGCCUGUAUACCUCCGUCGUCAGCUUACCACGUGAGCGCCAAUUAGUGAGCUUAAUGUCUUUCACCAACACGUCAGGUCAAGGUGCAGCAAAUGAAAUGGGAAGAGAUGGGCUACACUUUCUAUAUUAGAAAAAACGAAAAACUAUUUAUGAAAACUAGUUGGAAGGCGGAUUUAGCAGUAAAAAGGAAUCAGAAUGUCCAUUUUAACCCGGCACUGGGGUGUGUACACACCGCCCGUCACCCUCUUCAAAGCUUCUAACCUAGUUUUUAACAAACUAAGGCAUAACAGAAGAGGCAAGUCGUAACAUGGUAAGUAUACCGGAAGGUGUGCUUGGAAA